rnacentral:misc_RNA from 1 species
GGGAGAGCAACUUCAACUACCCAUUACAAUAAUAUACUAAAAUUACAAUAUACUUUACAACAACCAGUUGGUUACUUUUACAAAGCCCCACCAUCCACUAUGCAAAGGAUAAAGGGAGUCCCCACAAUCCCACAACAAAAUGGUGGAAGAAGAGCAGCUAAUCAUAGAUAACUUUGAAAAAGAAACUCACCUCAUCCGAAAAUGAUGCUAAUUGAUUGGGUGCUUUCAUACGUUUACCUUUCUUCAAGGAACGAUGACAUCAUGCCUUGUUUGACGAAACUCCAGAAAGGUAAUUAAAAAAAAGGGCCAAUGGUUGGGAUAAAAGCAAAAGUUGUGGCAUCUGACAUUGAUUGCAUUGCCACCAAUUACACAGGAAAAUACAAAUGGAUGGUAGGUAAGGAUACAAAGGAGGGGGGACACAAGGCUAUUGGGAGUUCUUAGAGGCACGUGCAACGAAUUGAAGGUCUAUGAUGGGGCUGCUGCUUCAGGCUUGACCAGGGACUGGUCAUCCGGUUGUUGAGUAGGAUAGAUGAGUGCAGCAAGUGAUAUGGGCAUGAUGCAGAGUGAUUUAGACUGAAGGUAUUGCAUGGCUGCACCGACGUCUUCCUCCAUGAGCUUAGCAACCUCUCGUUCUGUGUCAACAUUGGACCACUUAUCCCAUAUAUGCUGGUUGGAUCUACUUUCACCACUGUCCCCCUCCACAGAUUGUAAUGGAAUGUCAGCAACAAGUUGUGCCACUGCACUGGCUCCUCCCAGCCUACUCAUGCUCAGUACCUUAACUUGAAGCCUUAAGAACUUCACAUAGUCCAGAAUCUCAUCAAGCAUUGCGGCCCUAUCUGUCUUAUUGCAGCUGGGUACCAGUUCCUGCAAAGCCUUUAUUCUUUCUGAUAUCCUCUCUCUUCUCAGCCUCUCAGCAAUGCUAUGUGGAUCUGUGGCUUGUCCCCUCCGAGCUCGAACCCUAGGACGAAUUGAAGGUGGGUGUGGUACAGUUACUGUUGUGCUCGUUGUUGGUGGGCCUUGAAAAGGCUGGACAUGGUGAACAGAAGGCACAGAGUGACGAACUGCAUGAGAUUGCAAGUGUUCUAGACCUGCAUAUAGAUUUCCGAUAUUCAUUCCAUCUCUUUCAUGCUUCACUGCAUAAGGACCUGCAUCGCCGACGUCAUCACGGCCGUUAUCCAAGCUUAAUCCCAGCGGAAACAAAGGUUGCUGUAGGCCAGCAGCAGCGGCAGAGUUAAGAUGAGAUACGGCAGACGCCGAGGUAAACGACGUCGUCUCUGAUGGAGUGCCAACAUCAGCAACCGGCAAGCCAGAGUAGGGAGGAAUAGCGAGAAUUUGCUCGAGGAAAUCGUCGGCAUAGCCUUCCGGUUGGUUUGCUGCCAUGCCGGAGAUUUAUCCGGCGAAAUUAAUUUUUUUUCCGGCGAGAAGAAGUUAAGGGUUUUGAGGAACUGAAA